GUGGCCAAAGACACAUGAAGGAGAACGUCCGGUAGAUUUCUUUAAAUGGCAACAAAUUCUUCCCAACCCUGAAUGCUUUGCAGCAUCACUGUGCUGCUCCUUCCAUUGGAAGUGGAAUCUCUCUCUUUUCACCCUUUGAAGCUCGCCUUGGCCACGCAGCACAUUAGCAAGCGUGCCCCAGGCAGACGUCCGACCGAAAGUGCCUUCGCAGGGGAAGUCUGCUCCGUCUGCUGGGAAGGCUGGACGGGAAGAGGCCCUGGCAGCCUCCGGCUUCAGGAUGAGCAACCCUGCUGUGAGCCAUCACAGCGGCUGUCUGUUCUAACAUGUUUGUUGCUUCCAGUGAGAGGAUGGUGAUGGCGAUGAAGACGAAGAGGGUGACGCUGACGCUGAAGAGGAUGAAGUGCUAUCAUAGGCCGACUCGUGUUUCAAGCACCUGCUAAGCACUUAACAUAAGGUGUUGGAAUGAACUGUCGAUAAUAACCUUAUCAGGUGCCUUAUUGUCAUUUCCAUUUUACAGAUGAGGAAAGCAAAUCUUAGGUUGCAUAACUUCCCCAAAGUCACAGCUCAUAUUUGGUGGAGCUAGGAUUUGAACCAGGACUGGCUGGAUUUUUAGCUCAAGGUCAAUGGGAGCUGCUGGUUCUAGUCCUGCCCGGCUGAGCAGCUGCUGAUGGCCUGCCUCCCACCAGCUGUGCUCAGGGAACCAGGAGCCAGCAUCACUCACAGGCUGGCAGAUAACACCCGACUGAUUCCUAUCAGGUCUGCUGCAGGCUUCCGAAAGAGCUGUUACCGUCUGGAAGGCGAGGUGAGCGCGGACUCCGAUGGCCAGCAAGGUCACCGAGGGGAGGAGGAGUACAACCCCGAGUGCACCAAACACCCCCCGCAGAUUCUGAAACCUUCUACACAAUUUCACAAACACUGUACUGGGCUUCCUUCUGGGCUACACAGGUUUCCCAUCAAAUAUGAAUGGGAGGAGGUGGACUGUAUUAGCAAAUUAAUAAUGUAGGGGGGCAGCUGCCGAAGCCAUUCAUCACCUUGAUUACUCUUGCAUGCAUUCUCCUGAAAGCAAUUUCGGAUUUGUCAAGAACCAGGAGUGGAGACUCUCCUGAGACACUCACGUGAUCGGGCUUUGCUGCACACAGUACGUGUGGCUCUGAAAAUCCGCGUGUUCGACGCCUAGUAAAGAGACUUGUAUUUGGCCAACGAACUCAGAAGAGAACACAUUCUUUAAGAGAACAAUCUCCCGUUCCCGGGCCGCAGUUUUUAGUUGAGGUUUUCAUAGAUGGUUGCCGAUGGGUCAUAAAGAAUUAAGAACUCAAGGAAAAAUUUAUAUACUCCCUACAGUCAACAUAUGAUUUUUGCAGUUUCAAAGACACGGGGAAGGGUAAGUGGGCACAGUCUGAAGACGAUGUAUAUAAUCUCCUGCAAUGGCAGGAUAGUGCUGAAAAUGCCCCUCCCUGGACGUACAGGUAGGGUUAAUUCCAGGGUUCUGGGAGAAAGGAGGGGCCUGCAAGUCUCCCCUCAGGAGAACAAGAGGAGAGUCUUCUUGUGAGCACAGGACUGAGCACCUGAGCACAGACUUUUGGAGCCACUUCUAAGGGACGAGGAGAGCAGGUCACCUGAGUUAGGAGACUGAUCUCUCUGGUGCUCCCUGUAAAGGACGUUGGGCCACGUGACUCCAGCCCACCUCCAGGGUCUGGAAUCAGGCACACCUGGGGUUCAAGUCUCACGUGGCCUUGGGCAAGUUCCUUCCUUGUGCCUGCCUCAGCGUCCUCACCUGGAAAUUGGAGGCAACAAUCCCUGCAGGGUGCUAAGCUCCAGCACAGUGACCCAGGAGGCAGAGCUUAGAAGUCAUAAACCCCACACAGAAAUGCUUCUCUUCCUUUCUGGCUCUGGGCCCACGCAGUCAUGGAGUGGUGAGCCAUCCCUGGUCACCGGCCUUUUCAUUCCCUCCCACUCGGACAUCCCUGCACCCCAGUGGUUCUCCAACUCCGGUGAGUCUCAGGUGCUCUGGGGAGCUGAUAAAAAAAAAAAAACAACACAGAGGCCCCCAGCCCAUGGAGGUAGCAGGGUGUCUGGGUGAGCGGUAAGGGUUUAGCCAAGCUCCCCAAGUAAACCUGAUACUGUCUAAAAGUCGAGAACACUGUCUGGAUGUACAUAAAGCCCAGGAAAACAUCCAGAAAAAAAAAAAUCUUAGGGAGACCAGUUACUUAAGUUAGUUUAGUGGUUCUCAAACGUGGCCACACAGUACUCACCCGGGGUUCUUACGUGACUGAGGCUGGAGACCCACUGUCACAGCACCUGAUUUAAGAGCUUGGGAAUGCCACCAGGGCAUCGGGGAUGUAGAGACCCCACAUGUCCUGAUGUGCAGCAACUUUUGAGAAGCACUGAGUUAGAGCCAAGUGAAGUGCUUGGUUGCCCCUCCCCGCCACCUUCCUCUCCCCCUCUUCUCUGCCCAAGUAGUCUCUGAGGCACUGCCUAGUGCCACCAGACCUCAAGGGCCUCAAGAGGACAGUGUGCAAACAAACAGACUCUGCCUUUGGCAAAAGUGCCCAGCCAAGUUGGCUUGUCCCAGCACAUGAUUUAGUCCGGGCUGAGUAGGGCCAGUCAUACAGAGGGGAGUACAGCUGACUGCAGUAUAUUCUGGGCAGUGUGCCCCCAUUAUUGUUACCCGAAACCCCUAGGGCCUGGCUGCAAUAUGGGCUCCAAGGGAGGAGGGGCUUCGCCUAUUUUUCCGCAUAGAGGACAGUACCUGGCCCUUAGGAGGUACUCAGUAAUUAUUAGCUGAAUCAAUGAAUGAGUGCAUGGGACUGAGAAUAGGGUACGGGCUGACUGCACCCUUCCCAGUAAAACAGCAUUCUGGAAAGACUAAAAACCUCUAAAGAGAUAGAAUGCCACAUAUCUGCUAGGUGGCCAACCAGGAUAGUCCUCAGGGUCAGGAACCUUAACAGAACUCAAUUCACACCAGGUGUGGCACAUACACAGGGGUGUUACCUACACUCUCCAGCUGCAGUCGGCCUAAGGCUGUGUGCUAUGGAGCCCUGAGGCUUCCCAAGAUCCUUCAGGGCCCCCGUGGAAGGGGUGGUGGGGUUGAAAGGGCAAGACACCCUGCCUUCGACACUGCCACCAACCAAGAGCACUCUCUGGCUACCUGUUUCACAGCAUCAGCUCCAAGUCUCCACUGAAAGAAUUUUGUUUUGUUUUUUAAGUUUGAAACAGCCCUAACUAGACUGUUGGACAAAUGGGUAAAUUACACUUCCUUCAUCAAGGCUGAGCACUUGUCUCCCAGCUAGAGAAAAAAUGAGGGACUCACGCCAAGGUACCACCCAGAGGGAUGUUCCUGUUGGGUGCUGAAUGUCCCUGCUGUCUCUCAGUUCAAGACAAGGGCCUGCCACCAAUCUCCAGAUGCUCCAUGUUCCUCCAUCCUCGGCAAUUCCUAUUUCUCAAUCCACACAGAUGACUUUGGGAAUAAGACAUGUGAUGUCAUCACUUCUCGGCUCAAACUGCCCAAAGACUGGUCAUGGAAAAUCGAGGAAGAUAUGCCCAUCCAGCCUUGUGGAUGGGGUCCUAGCCCACAGAGGUCUCACUAGCCUUGUUCACCCUGCCACAGUGGCAGCAGUAGGAUUGUGGGAUAUAUGCUAAGAAAACUCUUACUUGAACUUCAAAUAUAUAAAACCUGGGUAGUAGUGAUAAUAACCAAUAUAUUACAAACCAUUUUCUCCAUUAGACUGUAAGCUUGUUAAGGAGAAGGAACUCUUCAUGUUUUCAUUCCUGGAGCCUAACACAUAGUAAGUAGAUGGCCCACAAACUGUUGUUUCACUGAAUUUUGAAACAACAAACUGUUGUUUCACUGUUGUUUUACAUGAAUUUUACAUCACUUCAUACGCCAACAAUUCCAGGACAGAGAUAUUGCCAUCAACCGCACUUUGUGGUCCUGGAAACUGAAAAGCAGAGAGGGUGGAUGAUGCUCCAAAUUACAACUAGUCUAAAAUGGAGCCAAGAAUAGGAUUAGAAUCUUGACCCAAGUCUUCUUGGUCUAAGUCUUAGACUCUCGCAAAAGCCUAAGGGCUAUGGACAGUCGAAAGAAGGUACAUCCAAAGUACUAAACAAAGGUUCAGUCCCCUAAAGACAGGAGUUCAUGUCUGUAGACCCAGGGCUCCAGUGAAAAUCCCGUAUCUGAGAAGACCCAGAGGAAUUAUCUCCUCAGCUUUCAGCCUAGAGGGAUGAAGCUCUUUCUAGAGCUAGAGUGUUUUUAAGAGCCCAGCAUCUUGGUCCACCUGGGUGGCUCAGUCUGUUGAGCGUCUGCCUUCAGCUCAGGUCGUGAUCUCAGGGUCCUGGGAUGGAGCCCCAUGUCACUCAGCAACCUGCUCCAUGGGGAGCCUGCUUCUCCCUCUCCCUCUGCGCCCCGCACCCCCAGCUCAUGUUUUCUCUGUCUCUUGCUCACUCUCUCUCUCAAAUAAUAAAGUCUUUAAGAAAAGAAAGAAGAAAAGGGAA
rnacentral:lncRNA from 12 species